AGCAGCCGCGGUAAUUCCAGCUCCAAUAGCGUAUAUUAAAGUUGUUGCAGUUAAAAAGCUCGUAGUUGAAUUUCGGGGUUCCACCGUUGGUCGGGCUAUUGUUUGUACUGGCGUGUGGAAUUUCUACCUUCUGGGGAACUAUCAUGUUAUUAAUUUAGCGUGGUAGGAAACCAGGACCUUUACCUUGAAAAAAUUAGAGUGUUCAAAGCAGGACUUAUGUCUGAAUACAUUAGCAUGGAAUAAUAAAAUAGGACGGUGGUCCUGUUUGUUGGUUUCUGAAUCACCGUAAUGAUUAAUAGGGAUAGUUGGGGGCAUUAGUAUUCAAUUGUCAGAGGUGAAAUUCUUGGAUUUAUUGAAGACUAACUACUGCGAAAGCAUUUGCCAAGGAUGUUUUCAUUAAUCAAGAA
rnacentral:rRNA from 1 species